AGAGUAGUGGAUGGGGACAAGGUUGGCAGAGCGUGAAGCCUGGGCUCAGUGGUGCUUUGGAGAUCUGCGAGACAAGAAAGUUGCAUCGAAGAGGAUGAGAGGAGAUAAUGCAGUGGAACAUGGUACCUUCAGCCUGCUUGACACCAUGUUUAGCAGAGUGCACACAGCACAAGUUGGACUUGAAGUGAAGAAGAGCUUUUGUCCGGAUGAGUUUGGAAUGUCCAUCACAGAGGCUGCUCAGAGUCCCUGAGCCACAAAAGCCACUUCCAGUCAGGAGGAAUGGUGGAGCAGCCCAGGUGGAGCAGCGCUUGGGAUGAGCAGAAAUGUGUGUUGGUGGCAGUGGGCUUUUUCCUUUUGUGCAAGAGGACUUUACAGGCACAUUUUCCAUAUGGGAAGAACCAAAUAAACAACCAAAGAAAGAAAACCCACAGAUCAGCAGAAGGAAAUGUCCUGGAUUUGCAUGAAAAUUCCCACCAACCCAUCCUGUGAUUGCCAGUUGCCAAAUGAGAAUAAUCUUUGGAAUUUCA